UACAGAGACUGCAAGCGUUAUUCGGAUUCACUGGGCGUAAAGGGUGCGCAGGCGGUUGGGUGUGUCAGAUGUGAAAUCCCGAGGCUUAACCUCGGAACUGCGUCUGAAACUACUCGACUAGAGUACUGGAGAGGGAAACGGAAUUCACGGUGUAGCAGUGAAAUGCGUAGAUAUCGUGAGGAACACCAGAGGCGAAAGGCGGUUUCCUGGACAGUUACUGACGCUCAGGCACGAAAGCAUGGGGAGCAAACGGG
rnacentral:rRNA from 1 species